rnacentral:rRNA from 1 species
GGCAGGCCUAACACAUGCAAGUCGAACGGCAGCACAGGAGAGCUUGCUCUCUGGGGUGGCGAGUGGCGGACGGGUGAGGAAUACAUCGGAAUCUACCUUUUCGUGGGGGAUAACGUAGGGAAACUUACGCUAAUACCGCAUACGACCUUAGGGUGAAAGCGGAGGACCUUCGGGCUUCGCGCGGAUAGAUGAGCCGAUGUCGGAUUAGCUAGUUGGCGGGGUAAAGGCCCACCAAGGCGACGAUCCGUAGCUGGUCUGAGAGGAUGAUCAGCCACACUGGAACUGAGACACGGUCCAGACUCCUACGGGAGGCAGCAGUGGGGAAUAUUGGACAAUGGGCGCAAGCCUGAUCCAGCCAUGCCGCGUGGGUGAAGAAGGCCUUCGGGUUGUAAAGCCCUUUUGUUGGGAAAGAAAAGCAGUCGGUUAAUACCCGAUUGUUCUGACGGUACCCAAAGAAUAAGCACCGGCUAACUUCGUGCCAGCAGCCGCGGUAAUACGAAGGGUGCAAGCGUUACUCGGAAUUACUGGGCGUAAAGCGUGCGUAGGUGGUUGUUUAAGUCCGUUGUGAAAGCCCUGGGCUCAACCCUGGGAAUUGCAGUGGAUACUGGAUAANCUAGAGUGUGGUAGAGGAUGAA